AUUGAACGCUGGCGGCAGGCCUAACACAUGCAAGUCGAGCGGAUGAAGGGAGCUUGCUCCUGGAUUCAGCGGCGGACGGGUGAGUGAUGCCUAGGAAUCUGCCUGGUAGUGGGGGAUAACGUCCGGAAACGGGCGCUAAUACCGCAUACGUCCUGAGGAAGAAAGUGGGGGAUCUUCGGACCUCACGCUAUCAGAUGAGCCUAGGUCGGAUUAGCUAGUUGGUGGGGUAAAGGCCUACCAAGGCGACGAUCCGUAACUGGUCUGAGAGGAUGAUCAGUCACACUGGAACUGAGACACGGUCCAGACUCCUACGGGAGGCAGCAGUGGGGAAUAUUGGACAAUGGGCGAAAGCCUGAUCCAGCCAUGCCGCGUGUGUGAAGAAGGUCUUCGGAUUGUAAAGCACUUUAAGUUGGGAGGAAGGGCAGUAAGUUAAUACCUUGCUGUUUUGACGUUACCAACAGAAUAAGCACCGGCUAACUUCGUG
rnacentral:rRNA from 1 species